UACGUAGGGGGCCAGCGUUGCUCGGAAUUACUGGGCGUAAAGGGUUCGUAGGCGGUGCGGCAAGUUGGGAGUGAAAUCUCUGGGCUUAACUCAGGGGCUGCUUUCAAAACUGCCGCGCUCGAGUGCGAGAGAGGUCAGUGGAAUUGCAGGUGUAGCGGUGAAAUGCGUAGAUAUCUGCAGGAACACCCGUGGCGAAGGCGGCUGACUGGAUCGCAACUGACGCUGAGGAGCGAAAGCAUGGGGAGCGAACAGG
rnacentral:rRNA from 1 species